CAAUUCUGCUCAAUUAAAAUCUCGCUUUCUCCCAUUCACUUGGAUUCCUCUGCGUGUUGAAUCCGUCGCUCUUUUGUAAAAUCAUCACAUAUACACUGCAAAAACACAAAAUCUUACCAGGUAUUUUUGGUCUACUUUCUAGUGCAAAUGUCUUCGUACACUCAAAGUAAGACAAAACUAACUUACACGUAACUUUUCAGCAAGAAAUAUAAGCUUGUUUUAAGUCAAUAAUUCCUUCAUAUUGAUGAAAGACCGAUGUUUUUAUUGGUGGAUUAUUUCACUUAUUCCCAUAUUAAAAAAAAAAACAAACUUCAAUGUACGUUUGUAAUAUAUUUUUAUUUUCUUGUUAAGCACUUCUGGAUUGAUGCAAACUGCAUUUUGUUGCUUUGUACCUGUGACAUGUGCAAUGACAACAAAGUUUGCUUGUUGCUCCAACGCCUGGAUAAAAUGCCAACUCCUCUUCUGAUGGCUGAAAUAUGAAAAUAUCUCAAGUGUUUACAUUUGUCACUCUGAUGAUUUCUAAUGAUUUAUGCAUGAAUAAACUUAUUCGCUUUAUUUGUAAUUGCAUUUCUAAUUUAAAGGGGACCAAUUACGCAAAAUUCACACUUUGCAUGUUUUUUGUACUUUAAUUUCGGUUUCUAGUCCUUCAAAAAUCAGCUAAAAAAAAAAACACUCAGCUGUUUUUUGGUAAUUAGUUCAUGUUUUUUAGUGUCUGGAAAAGGAGUCGUUUCAAAAACCUCUGGAAUGUAAAGUCAUAAAUAACCAGGCGCUGUGCUGUUACCUAGCAACCACAGCCAAGUCCAGUCUGUUACUUAGCAACCUGACCUGAGUUCCAGCACGUUUGGUCAGCUGGUUUUACCGCUCUAUGCGCUGUCCAAUGGCUGCUGGAAGAGACAAGUGUUUGUUGUUGACCUACCAUCCAGAAUCCACUUGCUGUAUUCUUGUUGUUGUAUAAUUGCUCAUCUGUUUGCAGCCAUUUUCACGCAGAGUGCAAACGUUGAGUUGAUUUAAAGUGACAUGAUGCCCUGAAACAGCUCAUUCUGAAAGGAACAGACUAAAAUCUGAUUAUCUAUGAAAGAUUUUGUGUGAA